AAUCACACUAGUAAUCGCUUGCUUCCUGCAGAGCUCAGCAUGAUGAGGGAUCAGUGAACAGAAAAAUAAAUGUUCACUCAGCUUUCAAAUUCUGACGUUCAUUUUUGCAGGACUGGGGUCACUUCACCCUCAUAAACCUCAUGUGUUCAUCUUAUGGCCACAGGAAGUGACUUAUUACAUUGACAGUGAACGAGCUUAGGUUCUCAUUUUGCCACUGUCAGGAAUGCUUCAUGUGAACUGAAUAUCUUGAUCUGCUUCAGGAGGACAAUGCCUUCUCUAGAGUUUGUGGGGGGAGUAGUAAACCAUAUAAUUAGCAAAUUAAAACACAGAAGUCCA
rnacentral:lncRNA from 1 species